GGAAGUAAAAGUCGUAACAAGGUCUCCGUUGGUGAACCAGCGGAGGGAUCAUUACCGAGUUUUCAACUCCCAAACCCUUAUGUGAACCUACCUAUCGUUGCUUCGGCGGACUCGCCCCAGCCGGACGCGGACUGGACCAGCGGCCGCCGGGGACCAUCAAACUCUUGUAUUAUCAGCAUCUUCUGAAUACGCCGCAAGGCAAAACAAAUAAAUUAAAACUUUCAACAACGGAUCUCUUGGCUCUGGCAUCGAUGAAGAACGCAGCGAAAUGCGAUAAGUAAUGUGAAUUGCAGAAUCCAGUGAAUCAUCGAAUCUUUGAACGCACAUUGCGCCCGCCAGCAUUCUGGCGGGCAUGCCUGUUCGAGCGUCAUUUCAACCCUCGACCUCCCUUUGGGGAAGUCGGCGUUGGGGACCGGCAGCACACCGCCGGCCCUGAAAUGGAGUGGCGGCCCGUCCGCGGCGACCUCUGCGUAGUAAACCAACUCGCACCGGAACCCCGACGUGGCCACGCCGUAAAACACCCAACUUCUGAACGUUGACCUCGAAUCAGGUAGGACUACCCGCUGAACUUAAGCAUAUCAAUAAGCGGAGGA
rnacentral:rRNA from 3 species